GUGGGAUUAGCUCAGUCAGUAGAGCACUAGACUCUUAAUCUCAAGGUCGUGGGUUUGAGCCCCACAUUGGGCA
rnacentral:tRNA from 1 species